UGUACCCCUAGACGUAAAGACAAGUUGAGCCAGAAAAUAGCAGUCUUCAGAGCACCAUUAACCCUGGCUCUUAGACAUCGGUUUUAGCAAAAGAAUAAUUAAAAAAUUAGUGGGUCCCACUCACUUUUUAAGAACCGUCUCUUUCUCCUCUUCUGUAAAGGUCGAAUCUUGGGUGGUUUUUGGACUGUUCGCGGGUCCUACCGACACGUGGCGGCCCGCGAUUGGUUACCUUUUAAUUAAUUUUUUUUAUCAGACAAAAGAAAAAGAAAAAUUCAAAAACCUACCUAUGAAACCGUGCAUGGGUUAAUGGUGCUCUUACCAUUUUAGAACAAUUAAAAUAACAUGUGAUAGACUUUAGAGUGCGUUACCUUCUCAGACACAUUGUUCUCUUUUUUGUCAAGAUAAGACACUUCCCACUGGAGGGACACAUUGUCCUCUUCCACCCCCAUGUGGUUUUACAGCGGUACCCCUCGCGCUUGGUUAAGGGAAACUAGAGGAUGGUUGCAUAUUUUUAAUUUAAAAUGUUGUCUAUAUUGUGGGGACCAAUUAUGUUUCCUUAGAAGAGUUAUUAAGGUUGAUUUAUAGGAUAGAGGGAGACAUAACAGCCGUUGGAUGGAUCACGAUCUAAUGGUGGGGGGCUGUUAUGUUUGAAAGAAGUAAGUUUUGUAAUAAAUGCUUGUGUGUCGUUGCUUUCGGCGUGAGGAACGAGCUGCAGCUUGUUGUAGGAGAAAGGUGAAUUUUUUGUAGAGGAGAUAAGAUUUAUCUUGAGAUUCAUAUAGAUCUCUGAAAUCCUUAAGAU
rnacentral:lncRNA from 1 species